rnacentral:rRNA from 1 species
CCUGAUCCAGCAAUACCGCGUGUGUGAAGAAGGCCUUAGGGUUGUAAAGCACUUUCAAUUGGGAGGAAAACCUACCGGUCAAUACCCGGUAGCUUGACAUUACCUUUAGAAGAAGCACCGGCUAACUCCGUGCCAGCAGCCGCGGUAAUACGGAGGGUGCAAGCGUUAAUCGGAAUUACUGGGCGUAAAGCGUGCGUAGGCGGUUCGUUAAGUCAGAUGUGAAAGCCCUGGGCUCAACCUGGGAACGGCAUUUGAAACUGGCGGACUAGAGUUUAGUAGAGGGGAGUGGAAUUUCAGGUGUAGCGGUGAAAUGCGUAGAUAUCUGAAGGAACACCAGUGGCGAAGGCGACUCCCUGGACUAGAACUGACGCUGAGGUACGAAAGCGUGGGUAGCAAACAGGAUUAGAUACCCUGGUAGUCCACGCCGUAAACGAUGUCAACUAGCCGUUGGUCCUAUUUACAGGAUUAGUGGCGCAGCUAACGCAUUAAGUUGACCGCCUGGGGAGUACGGCCGCAAGGUUAAAACUCAAAUGAAUUGACGGGGGCCCGCACAAGCGGUGGAGCAUGUGGUUUAAUUCGAUGCAACGCGAAGAACCUUACUACCCUUGACAUCCAGAGAAUCUGUUACACAUAGUAAGUGCUCGGAGCCC